rnacentral:tRNA from 1 species
GGGCCAUGGCUCAGUGACAGAGUGUCCCCUUUUCAUACAGAAGGUCCCGGGUUCAAUCCCUGGCAACUCCA